rnacentral:tRNA from 1 species
CAGCUAGCUCAGUCGGUAGAGCAUGAGACUCCUAAUCUCAGGGUCGUGGGUUCGAACCCCACGUUG